UGGGGAAUAUUGCACAAUGGGCGCAAGCCUGAUGCAGCCAUGCCGCGUGUAUGAAGAAGGCCUUCGGGUUGUAAAGUACUUUCAGUCGGGAGGAAGGUGGUAAGGUUAAUAACCUUAUCAAUUGACGUUACCGACAGAAGAAGCACCGGCUAACUCCGUGCCAGCAGCCGCGGUAAUACGGAGGGUGCAAGCGUUAAUCGGAAUUACUGGGCGUAAAGCGCACGCAGGCGGUUGAUUGAGUCAGAUGUGAAAUCCCCGGGCUUAACCCGGGAAUUGCAUCUGAUACUGGUCAGCUAGAGUCUUGUCGAGGGGGGUAGAAUUCCAUGUGUAGCGGUGAAAUGCGUAGAGAUGUGGAGGAAUACCGGUGGCGAAGGCGGCCCCCUGGACAAAGACUGACGCUCAGGUGCGAAAGCGUGGGGAGCAAACAGG
rnacentral:rRNA from 1 species